UCUUAGAUGUGUAGGUACAAUCUCGCUGGGGCCUCUAAAAUGUAUUCAAAUUAGCAUGAGAAUAAGAGGACAUCCAGUUUUAGCCAAAUUAAGGAGCCAUUUAUUA
rnacentral:miRNA from 1 species